GUGCUUAUCUGGACGAUAUAGUCAUCUUCAGUGGCACUUGGGAAGCCCACCUAGAGCGCAUUUCAGUAGUGCUCAAACGUAUUCAAACAGCAGGACUUACCCUAAAGACAGAAAAGUGCAAUGUAGGCAUGGCCAAAGUCCAAUAUUUAGGACGCCGAGUAGGGUCAGGGAAACAUAGGAAGAAAUAUGUAAAAUAUGGUCUGCCUAAUGCAACACAAAGAGAUG